UCCGGUUUGUCACCGGCAGUCUCCCUAGAGUGCCCUUGCGUAGCAACUAGGGACAAGGGUUGCGCUCGUUGCGGGACUUAACCCAACAUCUCACGACACGAGCUGACGACAGCCAUGCAGCACCUGUGUGUAGGUCCCGUAAGGGAAGGAAUCCAUCUCUGGAAACCGUCCUACCAUGUCAAACGCUGGUAAGGUUCUGCGCGUUGCUUCGAAUUAAGCCACAUACUCCACCGCUUGUGCAGGCCCCCGUCAAUUUCUUUGAGUUUUAAUCUUGCGACCGUACUUCCCAGGCGGCUUGCUUAUCGCGUUGGCUUCGCCACAAAAGGGGUCGAUUCCUUUUACAGCAAAUAAGCACCGUUUACGGCUAGGACUAC
rnacentral:misc_RNA from 1 species